rnacentral:rRNA from 1 species
CCAGACUCCUACGGGAGGCAGCAGUGGGGAAUAUUGCACAAUGGGGGAAACCCUGAUGCAGCGACGCCGCGUGAGUGAAGAAGUAUCUCGGUACGUAAAGCUCUAUCAGCAGGGAAGAAAAUGACGGUACCUGACUAAGAAGCCCCGGCUAACUACGUGCCAGCAGCCGCGGUAAUACGUAGGGGGCAAGCGUUAUCCGGAUUUACUGGGUGUAAAGGGGGCGCAGACGGCGAUGCAAGCCAGGAGUGAAAGCCCGGGGCCCAACCCCGGGACUGCUCUUGGAACUGCGUGGCUGGAGUGCAGGAGGGGCAGGCGGAAUUCCUGGUGUAGCGGUGAAAUGCUUAGAUAUCACGAAGAACCCCGAUUGCGAAGGCAGCCUGCCGCAGCGUUACUGACGCUGAAGCUCGAAAGCGCGGGUAUCGAACAGGAUUAGAUACCCCCGUAA